rnacentral:sRNA from 12 species
CUUGUGGAGAGUACAAUAAACUGUGAAUAGUAUUUAAGUUUACUUAAUAUGAAAGCAUACUCGAUGAAUCAAGAA